CAUAUAUGUCCUAACCCUUUAAGAGCCAUUGCUUGCUUCUCUUAUUUCACUUGGCUUAGUGUGUAGUAGUGUUUCUUGAUCUAAUCCAAAAUUAAGCAUUUGGGAUUGCCUUGUAGUUUGUAAAGAUUGAAUCUUUGUUCAUAUGGGGUUGGCUAAAAUUUUUGUAAAGAUUGAAUCUUUAUAGAAGUUUUCACCUGGGGUUGGCUUAUAUUUUGUGAAGAUUGAAUCUUCAUAGGAUUUCAAUACUUGGGGUUGCUUUAUAUGUUGUAAAGAUUGAAUCUUUAUAGGAUUUUUCACUUGGGGUUGCCUUAUAUUUUGUAAAGAUUGAAUCUUUAUAGAAUUUUUUACCUGGGGUUGGGUUAUAUUUUGUGAAGAUUGAAUCUUUAUAGGAAUUUUCACCUGGGGUUGGCUUAUAUUUCGUGAAGAUUGAAUCUUUAUAGGAUUUCAUUUACUUGGGUUUGCCUUAUAUUUUGUAAAGAUUCAAUCUUUAUAGGAUCUUUUACCUGGUGUUGAUUAUAUUUUGUGAAGAGUUAUAUCUGGAUUUGGCUGUGGAGAUUGAACCUUACUGUUUUAUCAACAGUAG
rnacentral:lncRNA from 1 species